rnacentral:lncRNA from 1 species
GGGAUGAAGAAAUUUUCCUUUACUCUUCUAGGUUCUUCUGGCUGUUCUAAGAAUUAAAUUGACAGAUUAAUAGGAGAAAAUCAGAUUUAAUUAACUUUGUACACAUGGGAACUCCACAUACAUGAGAAGUUCAGAGACAGAAAGGUAAAGCGAGGUACUUAUGUCAUCUUGAGCCAAUGGGACAGGGACCUGGGGCUUCAAGGGGGAGGAGGGUAUUUAUGGGAUGAUUAGAAGAGCAGAUGUUCUCAAAUUAGAGGUUUGCCCUGCCAUACAGAUGGAUCGUAAGAACUGGUUUCUGGUAAUAAGCCUUAAAGUUUCCUGAGCCUGCAGGGUCUUGAUUGACUUCAGCUCAAAAUAUUCCAGAUGUCAAAGCGGCACGUCUUGCGGAGGCCUCUUCGGAAGCCCUUCAGUUCCGCAUUUGAGCUUCAUGAGGAGUUUCCAGUCCAGAAGUUGGGUUGGUGGAGUGCUCCAUCUCACUGAGCCAGUCUCUUGGGUCGGAGAAUAGGUCUGUGCAAUUAAGCAGCGUGUCCAAUUUCAGGAGGCAGUGAUGCACGUGGGCUCCCAAAGUUAGGUCUGUGGUGCAAGCAAUCAAGUAUUUAAUAAGAGGCAUUUCUGUGGAAACAAAAGAAAGACAAUGGUUAAUGAUUGGAGCAGACUAUAAUCCCAGUUUCUGAGUUCUGAAGGUAGCCAGUCAAGGAGAUUUCUAGAUGUCUGGCUUGAAGCACCUUCAGAUGGAGUGAGGGCAGGCAGCGGCAAUCUGACAGAUUUUCCUAGUUUGCAGUUUGAGUGUCUCUGGUGAUCUUUCUGUGUGGCCCAUGUGGCAACAGGGAUAAAGAUCAUCCAUACCUAAGCCAUUGCGGUGAUUUCUCUGUGAUUCAUAUCAAGUUGUUCAGCUUUAAUUUGCAGGGCUUCAGGAAAAACGGCAGUUUUAGUUGUCAGUGAUUCCAAGUCAAAAGGGAGGAGAAAAUCAGAUCAUGUUAGUUUGGAGGGUUGUAGCCAGGUAUUGGAGGAAACUAGAAGAAUUCAGGAUCCAGUCCAGUUUACAGGUGGAAAACAAAACCUCAAAGACAAUUAGGAGAGCUAGAAUCUAAUAUCCACAAGAGUGUAUUAUAAUUUCUACUGAAACAAUAUUUUUCUCUCUCUUUUUUACUAACUACACAUUUUAUACUAAGAUAUUUCCCUUAUUAUUUUAGUAGUUUUAAUUACAUAUAUUAAUUAGAAUUUUUUAACCCUCAGAAACCUUAAUUUCUAGUAAAAAUUAAGACGUUAGCAAUUGUGAACUGUCUGCCGUACCGGCAUUCUUUAGAUUGGCAAAUUUAUGAAUUCAUUUAAUAAUUUCUAGAAACAUAUGCUUCUUCAUAGUACAAUCUUUUCAAUAAAGCACAAGACAUGUUUACUAACAGACCCAAAUUUAACUUCAUUUUCCCUGUAAUAAGAGGUCAAAAGUAGGUAAACUUAGACUUAUUCAGCAAUUAACGUUUUAGUAUUUUGUCUUAUUUGGAGACGAUCUAGACCUUCGCUGAAUUCCCAUCAUUUAACUUAGCAAAACUCUAGGGUUUCAAAUUACCAAAAAGAUUUUGGAAGCUAUUUUUAAGUACAUACACCAUAACACACAAUUAUUGUUAAAAAGUUCACCUAAAACCCUUUUUAUUUUACUUACAUCUAUUUUGUUUACUUGUUCCCAAUAAUUAUUUAGGUUUAGAGUACCUUCCAAAACUUCAUGAGACAUUAGACAAAGUCAGCCAUCAAUUUUUUUGCUGCCAAAUUUUGUAACAGAGAUAACAGGAAUUUGUUUGACUUUGAGUCAACCUAGGUAGAACAAAAGUUUUUUGUUUAAUGCUGAUAACUGUAAAGACAGCAAACAAAUUAGCGUCUAUAAAGAUUAGUGAAUAUUUUCCUAGAUCACCUGAUCCUGAAAUUCAUUUGUGUUAAUUUCUAUUAUAUUUUUGAAAGUAUACUCAAUUUAUAUGGUGCUUAUUUAUUUUUAAGCCAAUUAAAUAGAACUCUUUUAGAAAUUAUACCACCCAGAAGUAGAAAAAUAUCACAAAUAUAUAAUAUACAUCCAUAGGCAUACAUAGAUACAUAGGCAGAUGCAAGCAGAGACCUUAAAUAGUUUUCAUUUAAAAAUUUUAGCCAUGAGAUGGGUAUAGUAAUGCAAAACUCGCUAUUUAUAAAAGAACAGUUGAAACCAAACUGUGUUUCUGGCAGAUGGAAUAAACUAAGGUUACCUGCUUAGAUGGCUAAAGCAUUUUUUUCUACUGAUACUUGUGGAGAAGAAACUUCUGAUGCUAGAUUUAGGGCAGAAGUGCUUCUAUAGCCAUUUGCUUCCUUUUCCUUUUUUCCCCUCAGUCUUAGGAAUUGGGGAUGGUUGAGAUAAGUUCCCAGAGAGGUUACAAGCCUUUUGAGGUAAAUAGGGGAGGUUUUUGGGAUUGGUGAAAGGAAAUGGGUAGAAUCUGAACUGCCUCUAGAGCUUAUUUCCAGUUUUGCAAAGAUUUUGUAAGAUAAGGACAGUUGCUCUCAAUUCCUCAGAAAUUGGGUUAUAACUUCCAUGACAACAUAGAUUUAUCUACUGUCCAACCACAUCAUCCCUAAUUUGCCUCUUUCCCUCUGGGGACAUAGUUUCAUUUUAACUUAGGGAAGAAGGCCUUUAAAAAAUUCCUGUCAGGCUCUGAAUAUGAGCUUCUAAUUUGACCAUAAAGCUACUAAAAACAAAAUCCUUCUAAAUAUCUUGCCAGUUUUCAGCUGGGGUACACAGUAAAUAUUUCUGGCAACAUUAAACAACUCCAUGAACCCAAGAGGUGUUCUCAAAGGUUAAUACCUUCUCAAGAUCCAGAGUCUCUCCCAAAGACAGCCAAAAGAAAGAACUGACAGCCCACGUGUCCUAGGCAGGCAGAAAGCCAAGCCAAGCCCUUAGGACACAAAAUGAGACGAGCAAGAAGGCAAUAGCGAUCCCUGGGAGAGAAAGGGUCAGUAACCAAUGGGUCUGGCUUUGGAAAGGAAGGGACAACAUGAAAUAUUAUUUUCCUCUCUUGACUGGGCACUACAGAAUGGCUAUUGAUCUUUCUAAUUCUCUUCUACAUUUGGUAGGAUCUUCUGAAAAUGGACGAAAGAAAGGCUUUAUAAUUCAAAAGAUCUGUGGUCCCAGGGACACGAAUUCCUUGUGUGGGCGUCUAGGACACAGCCACAAUAGACACUGCACAGGAAGACCUGAAGCUGGCAGAGCCUUAUUCCAGAGUCCAGCAAAGCAAGUCCUACCGCCUUUUCCAGGAAUGUGGAAUGCCUCCAGUCACAAACUCGCUAAUUUGUGACACUGGGCAGGCACUUCUGGAAUGGGGUUUUUCCAGCACUAACAAGCAACGAAGGCUGAGAUGACAAAGGUACCCUUACAGGACCCCUUAUGACAAACUCCCCUGAGAGCUGACACAGCCAGACAAAGAGUGUCCCAGAACCCCAGUCUAUUUGACUGGUCACCAGAUGUACCCCGGUAAAUGCACCUUCUGGAUUUUCUCAUUGGUCAAAAAGCUAAGCUCUGAGGACAUAUAACAAGAGGGAAGGAAAAACCUCAUACCAUGAGGCAGCUCAGCAGGGAAACCCUUCCAGACGGCAAUAGCCAUGAGCUGACUUUGCCUGUGGAAUUUCCUUCUUAUGACAAACGACACAAUAGAGAAAAACACAGACCAUCUCUGGGAGGAAAUGGAUCAGGAGCACUCCACCAGGUUCACCAGAGUUGCUUAAGUUCAAGAAACUAGUUUCACAAAUAUUUUCUCCUGCUAAUCUAAAUUUUAGAAAGAGAAAAAAAGACUCUUCCCACUUUUGCUCCCAAUAGACCUUGCAGCAGGCAGAGAUCUGGGAGUCUGAUGGGGCAAGAACUCUUUCCCUCUACCAGAGCCUGUAGAUGUCCCAGGACCUCUCAGCUGCAGAGUCUAGCAGGGCAAAGAGUCCAGCCAGGGAAGUUUGUCUUACUGACUAUGCCAACUGUGGGGGAGGAAGAAAAUUUCCCUCUACCAUUCUAGGUUCUUCUGGCUGGCCUCAAAAUUAAAUUGACAGGAAACAGAUUAAUGGGAUAAAAUAAAAUUUAAUUAAUUUUGUAUGUAUGGGAACCCCACGUACAUGACAGAGUCAGAGACUCUACAUACACAAGAGGUUCAGAGACAGAAAGGUAAAGUGAGGUAUUUAUGCCACCUCGAGACAAGGAGUGGGACAGGGGCCUGAGGCUUCAGAGGGGAGAAGGGUAAUUCAUGGGAAGAGCAGAUGUUCACUAAUUAGAGGUUUGCCUUGCCAUACAGAGAGAUCACAAAAAUUUAUUUCUGGUAACGUCUUAUUAUGGGCAAGGUCCCCACUUUCAAUUCUUUAAGGGAGAGGUAAAAGUUUCCUGAGCCUGCAGGGUCUUGAUUGCCUUUAGCUCAAAAUAUUCCAGAUGGCCAAGUGGCACAUCUUGUUCUGAGCCCCUUUUUAUCCCCACUUCACAGAUAAGGAAACAGAUGUGGGAAGUUAAAUAAACAACUUCUCACACAGCUAGCAAGUGGUGGAGUGGGGAUGCUGGCAGAGUGGAUUCCAGACUCAGGUGCUGAGCCACCAUGCUCUGUGCCACCCCAGGUAUAGAAGGUGGUGGAGAAGGCCAGAAGGAGGGGGCUGGAUUAGGUGGUUGGCAAAGUGCUUUGUGACUAUAAAGUACUGUACAGACACAAGUUGUUACAGAAAGAGGCAAGGGUCCCCAGAGAGGGAUAAAGUGGUAUUCAGCUCAGAGCCAAAGCAAGGAAGAUCUCUAGGGUGAGAUAGCAUUUGCUUUGGAUUUGGACCCGUGUUCCUGGAGAGGAAUGAGGAACUUCCAGGGAGUGUGUGGGGUGGUGGUAGAGAAGGGUUUCCUCUAGCCCUCCCCCGUUAGCCUCCCCACAGGAUGGCUGAUCAGAUUAGCUAAUUGGCACCUUAGCCCAGAUGAAGUGAUCAGGACUGUAGAAAGCCUUGGUGUCCUACAGCCAUGAUCCUGGCCGCAGAGAGCAGGCUGGGUGGGGGCCACUCCUAGGGGAUAAAGGGAGGCACCGAAGGCUGGUAGCAGGGUCGGGGUGAGACAGCCUGAGUUCAAAUCCAGAUCUUCUACCACGCCCUGGGUAUGAGGCCAUGGGCAGGCCACACAACAUCUCUAUCUCAGUUUCCUCAUCUGAAGAAUGUGAAUGAUAAUAAUGGUAUGUCCUUCAGAGGUUUGUGCAAAUUUAAUAUGCUAAUCUGUGUAAAGUGUUUAUUACUCUAAAGUCUGGCACACAGUAAGCACUCAAUACAAGAGAGCUAGCUAUUGUUAUUUCUCUUAUUAUAAUCCCAGGGUACCUGAUUGGCAUCAUGCUUCAGGGAGGAACGGGCUUAGAAGAAAGCACACACACACAUCCACUUCAAUCUGCUUUCAGAUUUGCGCAACCUGACCACAGAAACAUCACACUUCAAGCCCAGGUAACUAGAGGCAACCAAAUAGUGUCCAGUCAGCCAAUGGCCACUGAGCAACCAAGGGAGCCCAGAACCCUGUACGAGGCAACUGUGAUAUAUAUGGAAGAAAAGAGCAGCCCAAGCCUCCUGACUGUGUCUGGGUCACCGUCCUCAAAAAGUCCGGUGGAAAAAGAAUGAUGCAGGCCAGAAGGCCGGGGGGCUGGGGUGGUGGGAGAGAGAGAGAGAGAGAACGUGUGGAAGAGCCUGGUUGCCCUACAGAGCCAGGGAAGGAAAUCAGGUGGAAGGGAGCCCCCAGGUCACACACCUGAAGGUGUCACUGCCAACUCCCCAGAGGCCAAAAAGCCCGGGUCAGCCAGUCAAGAAGUGGAUUUUCUUCUAAACCUGAAGCCCCAGAAUGAAACCACCCAGUUCCCGCCUCUUUUCCACCAGCUGUGUCAGAGACUCUAUCAGUGGAACCUCAUCUUCAGCCUUCAUUUCCAAUGUUGGUUUUGUUUAAUAUGGCAAGGCAGGAAAAUGUUCGUGUAGGGAUCUGCCCUAGGUUAAGUUGUGCUGAAGGACGGAGGAGAGAAUUCAAGAAGCGGCCCAAACCGCCACCAACAGCUCUGCAACCGAGGUGGGGCCUUCGCCAAUUAGGAUUGGAACGGUGGGGUUCAAAUAAAAAACUUAUGUGAAAGCCCGACCUGGUCCAUCGGAACCACAUAAACGCAUUUGUUCUUUCCCUGUGGUAGAUGUUGCCCUUUGUGGGAGGGCGGAGGAGGGAGAAGUAGCUUCCAUAUUGAGCUGGUACAUUUUGUGACUGCCCCGGAGCGUCAUCACCUCCACUCCUGCCAUCCCAGUCCAAGACCUCUCCUCCUGAAUGGCCUCCCUGCUUGCUCUCUUCGCUCCUAGAGUUUAUUCUCCACACAACAGCCAGAGUGAUGUUUUUAAACACAGAAAUUGUAUCUUGUCACUUUCCUGUUGAAAACUCUUCAAACGCCCCCAUCACACUUGAGAGUGGAAUUCAAACACUUUACCACGGGUCACGGGGCCCUAACAGGACUCGGCCCUGCUGACUUCCUCCCGCGGCCCACGCGGCUGCAGCCACAGUGACCUUUGGUCCUAGCUGUUCCCUCGGCCUGGAAGACCCUCUGCUCUGCUCACCCGCCUUGGAGGUCUCGUCUGACGGCCCAAACUACAUGAGCGACUCCCACCAUAAUUCUAUUCCGUUUGCCUCAUGGCAAAUGGGAACGACACUAACUCCACCAGUCCUGUGUAUCAUUUGUUGACUUGUUUACUGCCUGUCUUCCCGCAACAAUACAAGCCCUGAAGGGAGGGCAGGGUGUCUGUCUGCGCCAUCGCGGCACCCCAGCGCCAAGAGCCCGGCACGUGGCGGACCUCCAGCGUCCGCGGGGGAAAUGGCCUCUUCAAAUCCUGGCCGUGCUGCGAGGCGCGAGAGGAGCUUCCGUCGGGCUCAGGGUGGGAGCCUUCCCUCCCAGGGCACCUCGCUCCUUCGCCCCCCGCCCUUCUCAUACCGAAGGCCCCUCCAGGCAGGACGGGCGGUCUUCCAGGCCCUUCUCAGAGACUGGGGCCGCCCUCAAGUCCUCCCACACCAGGGGCUCAGAGACGCCGCCCUUUUCCUAAAACAGGCCCCGCCGGGUGCGCGCAACGCCCCCUCAGGCCCCCAGUCAGGGGCAGAGCGGGGUCCCGCGCUGUCCACGGGAAAACGGGGCGGGCCCCCCGGCCCAUCAGUACUAUCGGUUCAGCGCCCUCACUCUGUCCCCUUCCCUGGCUAGGGACCCCCCAGGGCCGUGUGGGGGGAGCAGGAGGCUCCAGGCGUCAAGGGCAACGAGGACACUCAGGCCCGAAUCCGGGACGGGCCCACGUCGCGCAGCAGCAGAACCUUUCUUCACCACGGCCUCGUCUGCCGGCCGGUCGGCUUUGGAGG